rnacentral:rRNA from 1 species
UACGGGAGGCAGCAGUAAGGAAUAUUGGUCAAUGGACGCAAGUCUGAACCAGCCAUGCCGCGUGAAGGAUGAAGGUCCUCUGGAUUGUAAACUUCUUUUAUAGGGGACGAAACCCGGGUAUUCUUACCCGAUUGACGGUACCCUAGGAAUAAGCACCGGCUAACUCCGUGCCAGCAGCCGCGGUAAUACGGAGGGUGCAAGCGUUAUCCGGAUUCACUGGGUUUAAAGGGUGCGUAGGAGGGCAGGUAAGUCAGUGGUGAAAUCUCCGAGCUUAACUCGGAAACUGCCGUUGAUACUAUCUGUCUUGAAUCCCGUGGAGAUGAGCGGAAUAUGUCAUGUAGCGGUGAAAUGCUUAGAUAUGACAUAGAACACCAAUUGCGAAGGCAGCUCGUUACACGAAGAUUGACUCUGAGGCACGAAAGCGUGGGGAUCAAACAGGAUUAGAUACCCUGGUAG